GUGGGGAAUAUUGGACAAUGGGCGAAAGCCUGAUCCAGCCAUGCCGCGUGUGUGAAGAAGGUCUUCGGAUUGUAAAGCACUUUAAGUUGGGAGGAAGGGCAGUAAGUUAAUACCUUGCUGUUUUGACGUUACCGACAGAAUAAGCACCGGCUAACUUCGUGCCAGCAGCCACGGUAAUACGAAGGGUGCAAGCGUUAAUCGGAAUUACUGGGCGUAAAGCGCGCGUAGGUGGUUUUGUAAGUUGGAGGUGAAAUCCCCGAGCUCAACCUGGGAAUUGCCUCCAAAACUGCAUGACUAGAGUACGGUAGAGGGUAGGGGAAUUUCCUGUGUAGCGGUGAAAUGCGUAGAUAUAGGAAGGAAUACCAGUGGCGAAGGCGACUACCUGGAAUGAUACUGACACUGAGGUGCGAAAGCGUGGGGAGCAAACAGGAUUAGAUACCCUAGUAGUCA
rnacentral:rRNA from 1 species